rnacentral:rRNA from 1 species
GACGAACGCUGGCGGCGUGCCUAAUACAUGCAAGUCGAGCGAAUUUACGAGAGCUUGCUCUCGUAAAUUAGCGGCGGACGGGUGAGUAACACGUGGGCAACCUGCCUAUAAGACUGGGAUAACUUCGGGAAACCGGAGCUAAUACCGGAUAAUUCACAUCUACUCAUGUAGAUGUGCUGAAAGACGGUUUACGCUGUCACUUAUAGAUGGGGCCCGCGGCGCAUUAGCUAGUUGGUGAGGUAACGGCUCACCAAGGCCACGAUGCGUAGCCGACCUGAGAGGGUGAUCGGCCACACUGGGACUGAGACACGGCCCAGACUCCUACGGGAGGCAGCAGUAGGGAAUCUUCCGCAAUGACGAAAGUCUGACGGAGCAACGCCGCGUGAGUGAUGAAG